rnacentral:rRNA from 1 species
CAUUAAUGAAUAAACUUGGUUAGGUUGUUGCUGGCUCUUAGGAGCAUGUGCACGCCGACUCCAUCUUUAACCACCUGUGCACCUUGCGUAGAUCUGAUAUUCUCGAGGAAACUCGGUUUGAGAAUUGCUGUGCACCUGCCAGCUCUUCUUGUAAUCAGGUCUAUGUUACUAUAUACUCCACAUGAAUGUAAUCGAAUGCUUUAAUUGGCCUUUUGUGCCUUUAAAAACAAAUACAACUUUCAACAACGGAUCUCUUGGCUCUCGCAUCGAUGAAGAACGCAGCGAAAUGCGAUAAGUAAUGUGAAUUGCAGAAUUCAGUGAAUCAUCGAAUCUUUGAACGCACCUUGCGCUCCUUGGUAUUCCGAGGAGCAUGCCUGUUUGAGUGUCAUGAAAUUCUCAACCUUUCUAGCUUUUAUAGCUUGUCAGGCUUGGAUUGUGGGAGUUGCUGGUUCAGCACGAAUCAGCUCUUCUUAAAUGUAUUAGCAGAAACCUUUGCUGACCAUCUUUGAUAUGAUAAUUAUCUAUAUCAUUGACAAUCAGUGUCCUUCCAAGGAGAGGCUUCGCUUCUAAUAGUCUCUUAGACAAUUUGACAACUUUGACCUCAAAUCAGGUAGGACUACCCGCUGAACUUAAG